UACGGAGGAUGCGAGCGUUAUCAGGAUUUAUUGGGUUUAAAGGGUGCGUAGGCGGCCGAGUAAGUCAGCGGUGAAAUUUUGCAGCUUAACUGUAACAGUGCCGUUGAUACUGCAUGGCUAGGAUUUGGUUGCUGUGGGUGGAAUGUGUGGUGUAGCGGUGAAAUGCUUAGAUAUCACACAGAAUAUCGAUUGCGAAGGCAGCUCACAAAGCCAAGAUUGACGCUGAGGCACGAAAGUGUGGGGAUCAAA
rnacentral:rRNA from 1 species